AUGAGGAACGAGGUUAACGAUACCUUACAAAGACCGUCGUCACCGGCACUGUAUAGAAUUUGCGAUGUAUUGUCGGCAAAAACAACAGCAUUUACAUCAUUGUUAUGACCUUCGAUCUAGAAGAAAGACAAACGAAGAAAGCUUGAUGACACAAGAACGUCCGGUAAUGUACGCUUGUACGCCAAGACACACAUACGAACCCUAAAGGCACGUUGAUGACAUUCUCUGUCGUAGACGUAGAGAUAACCGUCGUUUGCUCCACCCAGAAUUUCUCGGCCGUCGCUAGAAAAGACAAGAGAAAAUACGCAAAACCUUCGAUCCACCGGACACAGAGACAACGAUUCUUGUGCGCACGAGUCUCCGUAAACAGGACACAAAUAUACUGAAAAGAAAGGUGUUGGAAUGUUUUAUGGCUAUAGAGAUCGGUGUAUUGUUUUCGUAGAAACGACUUACGACAUUCCGACCAACUGGAAUAGACGAUAUAGUUGCCAUCGGGACUGAAAGCAGUGUCCAAGAUACUCCAUCCGACGUCUCUUGCAAGAAUCGUCUUGAACUCUAAAAAGUCUCCGUCGUGGGUUCGAUAGAGGCGUAGAAAUUUAUCUACGGUGAACAGAAGGGGUCAGAGAGAAAGCUUAAAGUCGCAGAAUAGGGAUACUAGGUGGGAGCAGCGUUACCUUGACUGGCAGUUAAAAAGAAUCUUCCGUCUUUGGAGUAAGAACCGCAAAACGCUUUAGCACUGUACUUGGCUACUUGGUGCAUUUUAUUUGGCAAGAAACUACUGCUUAUUCUGCAUCUUUCUCCGGUACUGAAACCAGGGCCCAGCGCCCUCCUUUGAAUCAUAGAUGUGACAGAAAUGUUGCGCUUAUCGAUAUCGCUUACAAAUCCACAGGCCUGUUUGGUAGCUAGACUGAUUUCGCUUCUCUGAAAGGAAACGGGCAAUGUAAAACCACGUCGGCGGAGAAUUGUUCCAUGUACAGAACAUUUAAUACGUAGCAACGAACAUCUAAUCUGGAUGUAUUUGGAUAUAAAUGUAAAUGGGAUGUAAAUCUCGGAGAUUGCGAAUUCGCGACGUAUUCUUCGUCCGAGUCAUCGUGAUCCGAGGGUACGAUGUGUAGUUGUCCGCUGGAACGGUUGAACGAAAAGAAUUAGACGUUUGAUUCGCUGGUUUGUUUCGAAGGGAGACGGAUGAAGAGAUUGGGACGUUUGGAUUUGAAAAGUCCCAAGAGAGAAGAGAGAUUUUCUGGAGAUUCGGCAAACCGUUUGAAACGAACAAACGAACAAACGAAUCUGAAGGGAAAUUUCCGUGCGGAAAGGAAGCGAGGAUUCAUCGAAAGAUUCGGAAGAUUGGACUCUGAUUCGAAUGAUCGCGCAGUUUACGAUGAAACGUAGAACGACUAUAAAUUACGUAGAGAGGUUAGAAUUUCUCUCGGUUUCUUUCUCUUUCUCGCACCGAGUGUCUCUCUUUUUCUCUUUCCCAUCCCGAUUCUUGGAGCAUCUCUCUCGCUCUCGGUCGUUCUCUGUCCCUCUGUCUCUCUCUCCAUCCAUCUCCCUGUUACACAUUAACGCGAGCGAACAGAUGUACGCACACACAGUGCGAAAAGAUCCAGGACGAUAUUAAAUGUUUCGACGACGAGAUAACGUUCAACCAACCUGCGUAUCAAGUAUUGCAAGACAGCGGCCAACCCUCGAUCAUGUUCGAUGUCCAUAGUCCGGGAAUUAAUGCCUCCCAUGCAGGGAACAAACGAAUCUUAUUUACCGUCUAAAAGCAAACAAGGAAAACGUCCAAGGGUUGAUGGCGUUAGUGCAGUGACUAUGACAGUUGAAACAGACGAUGACAGGAACGAGUGAGCGCGUGAGAAGUUACCGACGCGGAGGGGAGAAGAAACUGAAUGAAGAUACGCUUCUCGCCAGUACGCCGAAACACGUGAAAACUCGUCGUUACGGAAAUUCGAAUCGAGCGAAAUGUUGGCCUUACAGAUAGUACUAUCUUCCGAAUAAACGCUUUGAAACCUUGGACAAUAAAAAGAGUGCAGAGAUGGUUUCUCGCGUGUUCGUGUGUGUGCACGCGUGUGUCGCGAGGAGGGGAGAAGAGAGAUGGCGCGAACACGGCAUGUCGUUGCAAAACGAUUAAUCUACGCGUUAGUUUUGCUCGGCAAUUUACUCGACUCAAUCGAUAGUUUGAAUAUGAGGUUGCGAUGGGAGAAUAUUCCGAGAAAAAUGCAACGAGUGGACAGUCUAUGUGGGUUUCUACGACGGAUAGAAACGAGCCGUUGCAAGGGACCGGUCGCUGCAAAGUCCACGUACAGUACUAUCGUGUCGAAUUUGAUAGCGCGCGUUAGUUUACGAACUGCAGAACGCGGAAGGCAAUUCGUAAUGAUAAUUCAAGGUCGAACAAUCUGAAAUCCACCGCGAACAACGUACGUAUCAUUGGAAAAAUUGUACGUCAGCGUACAAAGUACUCGAAUCUCCCGUGCUCCCCGUCUUUCCCUCUUUCACGUUUGUGUCCCAUAGCUGUGAUCCGUAACCUGAGAAUCGCAGCCCAUAACCCGAGACACCUGGCAGCUGAACGGCGAUCCGUUAGUUUCCGAAUUCGAGCUCGUAUUCGUACGUAUCUCGUUCGAGCGGAGGUGCGCAAGUUUCGGGUAAUGGUUCGCAGCCUGGCUCGAGCCAGAAUCAGAGUCGGAACGAGAGCUGAAGCCGGGGUCGUGGUCAAAGCCGUAACCGGGAGCGGAGUAUGCGCGCAUGCGUCGCAUUAUCACCUGCUCGCAAGUUUCUCGUUUUCGCAAGAAAUGACGGGAUCGUUGAUUCUUGCGACAUCGACAGCGUCAUUCCCCAGGACGAGAGUAAAGACAAGGAGAGGGUAGAGCGUGCAACAAUUGCGCUAAGCUGAUCGUCGAGGACAGGAUCGGCGGCAACGACGAGGACGACCGCGACACGUCGACGACGUUUACGAACGGAACGAGAGAAAAAG